rnacentral:lncRNA from 1 species
GGAGUUUUAUGCCUAUGUAAUCAGUGCAGACAGCCGUUAAGUAAAUGAAGAGGCAACUAACAAUGUCAGAAAAGAGACCGGGCGGUUCCGGCUGACACUACCCUAAUCUUCCAGGACCCAUUAAAUGAAAAUUUGGAAAACAGGCUUUUCCUAUCCGGAUGAACAGAGAUAAUUUGUGUCGAUGGAUGUUCUGUGAAGGCCUAUUGUGUCGAGCAGCGUAUUAAAACAUAAACAUGGCUCUUCCCCCAAGAAACUUACAUUUCAGUAAGGGAGCCUGGCCAAAAUGGAAAACUGCAAGGUUCAAAUCCUGGAGUGCAGAAGAAGCAUUAGGCAUUGACCCUGUGGCUUCCUAAUAGAUCCGCAAAGUGCUUUGUUCCUGGAAAUCAUCCGAUGAGUAGUUCAGUGCUAUUGUAUAUCUUGUUAGAGCAGCCGAAGUGCCACAAAAUGAACUAAAAUCUCCCUGCAGAGUUGCUGUAUCAUAUGCUGAGAACAUUCGGAACUUUCAACAAAUUCAUGUUACGAUCCUGGGUAGCCAUGGUUAAAUCUGUACAGGGGUUAAAUGAGAAAUAUGAGCCUGCUGUUAAGUGUCUUCUGAGAGUGACAAAGCUCUGGCCAUAAGGGAUGGGAGAGGAGGGAUUUCUUCUCAGCCUUCCAGCCCUUUCCAGCUGUAUCACAGACAGGAGACAUAAUGCAAAGGGGCUCAGACAUUGACUUCCUGGAUCUUUGCGGCCCCAGGCAUUGACCCCCUCUACCUGGCUUUUCCUACGCUGUAAAAUGAGGAUCCUCCUAUAUUAUGGAGUUUAUUGUGACAACUAAAUAGCUGAGAAGAAGGACAUCUCAUUUGUUUUAACUAUGCAGUUUCCUGUCUAUCUAUCUAUCUAUCCCAUCAAUCUAUCAAUCAAUCUAUCAAUCUGUCUAUCCCUAUCUAUCUAUCCAUCUAUCUAUCUAUAUCUGUCUAUAUCUAUCUAACAUUUAUCUAUCAUCUAUUCAUCUAUCAGCUAUCUUCUGUCUAUCAAUAUUUCAAUCAAUCUCUCUAUCCCUAUCAAUUAAUCUAUCUACCUACCUAUCAACUAUCCAUCUAUCUCUAUCAUCUAUCAUCUAUUCAUCUAUCAUUUAUCAUCUGUCAAUCCAUCUUCCUACUAUCUAUCAAAAGCAACACAUUUUCUUCCUGACUUUAAAAAUAUUUAAGUGGGCCGGGAGGAUGGCUCACGCCUGUAAUCCCAGCACUUUGGGAGGCCUAGGCGGGCGGAUCACGAGGUCAGGAGAUGGAGACCAUCCUGGCUAACAUGGUGAAACCCCGUCUCUACUAAAAAUACAAAAAAAAAAAAAAAUUAACCAGGCGUGGUGGAGGGCGCCUGUAGUCCCAGCUACUCGGGAGACUGAGGCAGGAGAAUGGGGAGAACCCGGGAGGCGGAGCUUGCAGUGAGCCGAGAUCAUGCCACUGCACUCCAGCCUGGGCGACAGAGCAAGACUCCAUCUCAAAAGAAACAAAAACAAAAACGUAAGUGAUACUCUGUCCACUCUUUUGAUUGAGGAGGUCUGAUUUUCAGGCUUUGGAUUUUAUUAUGUCUUCAAUAUAAUAAUUGUUCCAUGUAUCUCUCCUAAAUUGCCAUUUGAAAAACUGCUUUUCUGAAGUUUAAAGUGCACAUUUUGAUACAUCUUGACACAUAUAUACACCCAUGAAAUCAUCACCACAAUCAGGAUAGUAGAUCUAUCCAUUACCGCCAAGGUUUACUUGCACUCCUUUGAACUUUCUCCCCACUCCUCACCCCCUGCCUAUCCCCAAUCCUUAAGCAAUCACUGAUUUGCUUUCUGUCACUAUCAGUUAAUUUGAAUUUUUCAGAAAUGUAUAUAAAUAAAAUCAUUCGACGUGUAUGCUCUUUUUCUGUUCACCCGGUACAAUUUGAGAUUUAGCCAUGUUUUUGCAUGUGUCAAUAGUUUAUUUUUUUGUUGCUCAGUACUAAUCCAUUUUAUGGAUACAGAGAAAUGUAUUAAUGCAAUCCCAUAUUAAUAGGCAUUUGGGUUGUUUCCAGGUUUGGGCUGUUACAAAUAAAGCUGCUAUGAACAUUUUUGUGCAAGUCUUUUUAUGAGUAUAUUCCUUUAUUUCUUUUGGGUAAAUACCUAGAAGUGGGAUGGGUGUAUCACAUGGUACGUAAAUAUUUAAAUUUUUAAGAGAAUGCCAAACUGUUUUUCAAAGUAAUUGCACCAUUUUAUAUUCCCACCAGGAAUAUAUGAGAAUUCCAGUUCCUCUACAUACUCACAGACAUAUUGUAUGGUCAGU